GACGAACGCUGGCGGCGUGCUUAACACAUGCAAGUCGAACGGAAAGGCCCUGCUUUUGUGGGGUGCUCGAGUGGCGAACGGGUGAGUAACACGUGAGUAACCUGCCCUUGACUUUGGGAUAACUUCAGGAAACUGGGGCUAGUACCGGAUAGAAGCUCCUGCUGCAUGGUGGGGGUUGGAAAGUUUCGGCGGUUGGGGAUGGACUCGCGGCUUAUCAGCUUGUUGGUGGGGUAGUGGCUUACCAAGGCUUUGACGGGUAGCCGGCCUGAGAGGGUGACCGGCCACAUUGGGACUGAGAUACGGCCCAGACUCCUACGGGAGGCAGCAGUGGGGAAUAUUGCACAAUGGGCGGAAGCCUGAUGCAGCAACGCCGCGUGCGGGAUGACGGCCUUCGGGUUGUAAACCGCUUUCGCCUGUGACGAAGCGUGAGUGACGGUAAUGGGUAAAGAAGCACCGGCUAACUACGU
rnacentral:rRNA from 1 species